rnacentral:rRNA from 1 species
GAUGAACGCUGGCGGCGUGCCUAAUACAUGCAAGUCGAGCGAACGGACGAGAAGCUUGCUUCUCUGAUGUUAGCGGCGGACGGGUGAGUAACACGUGGAUAACCUACCUAUAAGACUGGGAUAACUUCGGGAAACCGGAGCUAAUACCGGAUAAUAUUUUGAACCGCAUGGUUCAAAAGUGAAAGACGGUCUUGCUGUCACUUAUAGAUGGAUCCGCGCUGCAUUAGCUAGUUGGUAAGGUAACGGCUUACCAAGGCAACGAUGCAUAGCCGACCUGAGAGGGUGGUCGGCCACACGGGAACUGAGACACGGUCCAGACUCCUACGGGAGGCAGCAGUAGGGAAUCUUCCGCAAUGGGCGAAAGCGUGACGGAGCAACGCCGCGUGAGUGAUGAAGGUCUUCGGAUCGUAAAACUCUGAUAUUAGGGAAGAACAUAUGUGUAAGUAACUGUGCACAUCUUGACGGUACCUAAUCAGAAAGCCACGGCUAACUACGUG